rnacentral:lncRNA from 1 species
GAAAAUCUUUCACGAAGUCCAAAGGCUCUGGUUUUUUUUCACCCAUCUUUGCUUUUUUAACAUUUACAGUUUGUUAGACCUAGAAAACAAAACUGAAACAAUUUUACACUAUUUAGGGAGAUCUAGUACAUAGCAAACAAAUGACAAAAGCUAUUUUGUGCAAGACACUAUAUAAAGCAAGAGAAAACACAGUGCCUGCCUUUCAGCAUCUUAUAAUCUUACUGGUGAACUAAAGACAUACACAAAAUGGUAAAAAAUCAAUAUAUUUAAUAAUUAAAUAUAAAUACGGAUUCAAACUUAGUCACAGAGGAUGGGAAGAAAUUUCAAAGGCAGAAAAAAAGAGAAAACAAGUUCAGAUUAAAUAAAUAAGAACACAAGCAGAGAUUAUUGAUGAAGAAGACAAGAAACCAAGGAGACCGGAGACCAACAUAGGGAGAACUUGUCCCUACAAAAAAAAGUGUUUUUAAUUAGCUGAGUGGUGGCACAUGCUGAUGGUCCCAGCUACUCAGGAGGCUGAGGCAGGAGAAUUGCUUGGGUCUGAGUGGUCAAGGCUGCAGUGAGCCGUGAUUGCACCACUGGACUCCAACCUGGUUGACAAAAGGAGACUAUUUUCUGGAUGAUGGACAUGUUUCUUAUCUGUGCUAUUCCUACGCAGUUGCUACUAGCCACAUAUAGCUACUGAGGCACUUGAAAUUUGGCUAAUACAUAUGACCUGAGUUUUUAAUGUUAUUAAUUUAAAUAGAAAUAGCUGCAUGCAGCUAGUAACUACCAGCAAAGGCUCUUAAGACAUAGUGUUCACAUGAAUGAGUAGUCUGCAAAUAAGUGGUCUAGAACUAGGGGUUGCAAAGUUUUUAUGAAGGGCCAGUUAGUAAAUAUUUUAGGCUUUGCAAGCCAUGCUCAUCUUUGCUGCAAUUACUCAACUGUGUCACGGUAAGAAGCCACAGACAAUAGGCAGCCACAGACAGUAUGUAAACAAAUGGGUGGGGCUAUGUUCCAAUUAGACUUUAUAACAACAGGCGUUGAGCCAGAUUUGGCCUACAGGCCUUAGCUUCCCAACCCCUGCUCUAGAAAUAUCCAAAUCACCACCUCUACUACCUAUCAUCCUAUCCACUCCAAGACUAGGGAAAAAUAAAAAAGUAAAAGAAAAUCCCUGACCGUAGUGUAGAAAGGGAAAGUCUCUUGUGUGUUCUGCAAUCACAAGCUGGUCUUCACAUAGGUUUAUGGCCCAAAUUCACAAAUAAAAUAGCCAAAAAAGUUUUCUAGUAAGAAUAAGAUGAAGUCUAGCACCUGGGAUAAAAAAGGUCUUUUCUUCCAGGAAAAACAAUUUUUAUGCAAAUAAGUACAAUUCUCUGGUAAAUAUACCUUAUAAAAUCUUCUUUUUCUAAACUCAAACUAUUUAAUGAAUAAUUUUCCAUCUAAACAAGCUUCCAUCUUUAGUAGCCAGUGGUAGACAAAAAAUUACUCACUUUCAGCAUAUAUGCUUAACUUUUUGUUGAAGUCUUGUACAUAUAUAGAAAAGCACAUAAAUCAUAAGAGCAGAGCUCAAUGAAUUGUCACAAAAUGAACACAUUCAUAAAAUCAGCACCACAAUCAAGAAACAGAAGGAUGCCGGCAUCCCAGAAACCCCCCUCGUGUACCCUUCCAAUGCUAGGACCCUCUGCCCUGACAAGGGUUACAGCCAUCCUGACUUCUGACUCUGUAGAUUAGUUUUGUCUGUUCUUCAGCUUUAUGUAAAUGGAAUCACACACUAUGAACCUUUGUCUGGCUUCUGUCACUCAACAUUGUAAUUGUAAGAUUCAUCCAUAUUGUUGCAUGCAACUGAAGUUUGCUCAAAUUUACUGCUGGAGUCUGUUGUAUGACCAUGCCACAACUCAUUUAUCUCUUAUACUGUUUUUAGAUCAUUUGGGUAAUUUCCAGUAAUUGGCUGCUGUGAAUAAAGUUUCUAUGAACAUAUUACUACACGUUUUUUGAUUACGUACAUAUUUCUGUUGGUUGUAUAGAAGUGAAACUGCUGGAUCAAAGGCAUGCAUAUAUUCAGUUUUAGAUAAUGUCAAAUAGGUUUUCAAAGUGAUUAUAGCAAUUUACACUCCCACUAGCAGUAAACAAAACUGCUGCUGCUCCACAUCCUUGACAAUACUUGGGCAUGUUUUGCCUUUUUCGUUUUAGCCGUUCUGGUGGGUGUCUAGUGGUAUCACAUUACUUUUAAUUUACAUUCCUUGGUGACUAAUGAAGAUGUAAACUUUUUAAUAUAUACUAAUUAACCACUUAGAUACCCUCUGUUGUAUAAUGUCUGCUCAUACCUUUUGCUUAUUUUUCUAUUGUGUUGUCUUUUUCUAAUAUGGAAGAAUGCUUUAUAAUGAGUCCUUUAUUAGGAUAUGUGCAUCUUAAGUAUCUCCCACUGUGGUUGCCUUUUCGUUUUCUCUUCUUUUCUUUUCUUUUUUUUUUUUUGAAACAGAAUCUCACUCUGUCGCCCAGGCUGGGGUGCAGUGCCGUGAUCUCGGCUCACUGCAAGCUCCACCUCCCAGGUUCACGCCACCUGCCUCAGCCUCCCGAGUAGCUGGGACUACAGGUGUCCGCCACCACGCCCAGUUAAUUUUUUUGUAUUUUUAGUAGAGAUGUGGUUUCACCGUGUUAGCCAGGAUGGUCUCGAUCUCCCGACCUUGUGAUCUGCCCACCUCGGCCUCCCAAAGGGCUGGGAUUACAGACGUGAGCCACUGCGCCCGGCCUUCACUUUCUUAAUGGUAAUUUUUGAUGAACAGAAGUUCUUAAUAUAGUACAAUUUACCCAUUUUUAUCCUUUACAUUUAGAGUUGUUUGUGUCCUAGUUAAGAAAUCCUUGCCUACAUCUUACUUGAAGAUGUUCUCCUAUACUUUCUUCUAAAUGCUUUUUAUUUUACCUUUCAUAUUUUUAUCUGGACUUGAGUUUUGUGUAUGGUGUGAGAUAAGAGUCAAAGCCAACUUUUUAAGAAUCAAAACUUCUUCUUUGACUUAACUCGAAAUCUACUGGAAAUAGACCAACAUUUGACAUACCAUUAAUAUGAAUUAUUGUACUUUACAACCACUCAGUAACAGGGCUGUUUUUGUUUUCCCUGUUUCCUGGCUUCAGACUGAUCUAUCUUAUUUUCGUACUUCUUGUCUUCUCUCUUCACAUCUAGUCUCUUCUUUGUUCCAAACAUAUUUAGCCAAAUAAGGACUUACAGGUAACUGAAUUCUCUUUUCUUAAUUCAAUACUUGUGAAUCGUUCCUUUCCUCCCUUUUUAGAAGCUACGGUAGUUCUAGGGGCUUUUAAAAAUUAUUAGUGGCCGGGCGCAGUGGCUC